rnacentral:lncRNA from 1 species
GGCGGGCAAAGGACCGGAAAAGGAGGAGACAUUCCAAUCGGCACUGGAACAACAAAUCCCGGAAGCCCGCGGCGGAAGCCACAGUUGAGGCUCAGGGUUAUUUCUGUCGAUUUGAGUCUGAGGAGGCCCAUCUACUUAGAGAACAGAUGCCUGAGCACCGUCUCCUCUCGUCCCACUGAGGAAGUCCCAGAGCACGAGAGCAGCCUCCCUCUGCAGCCCACACCCAUUUCCAUGUCGCGUUUCUCGGUGUCCUCUGUGAACUUCUGUCUCUGCUUCCUGUCCCUGAAGGAUCCGUGGAGCGCGAUGGGAUGUCACGUGUGGUCAAAACCUACUUCUGCACCUUCACGACUGCCCCUGGGUUUCUGUAUUUUCUCACCCUUGUCCACAGACCCCUCGACAUCACAAGCACACACACUCCCGUAAAAUUUUGUGUUUUUUUGUUUUCUUUUGGUACUGGGGAUCGAACUCAGGACCUUGUACCUGUGAGGCAGGCAGCAGCACCACUGAGCUAAAGCCCCAGCCCCGGAAUGACACACCUUACUUAAAAUCUCCAGCCUUCUUUCCAGGACUCCAA